AAACAGGGUCUGCAGCACAAGACUAGUCGAAAAAGCAAAAUGAUGGCUUGCAACAAUCCUGUUUGUGGAAGAGAUUAUGACAAAGAAGUCUGGAACCUCAGAACCACCAUAACUGUGUCUGCUACAAUGUGUGUUCUUGCAACCAGCUGAUUGAUUCAUUUUAUCAACUCUUGAAUGGUUGAUUAUCAGAACUGAAUUCAGAGCUGCUCCUGUCUGUAGUAACAUCAUUAUAAGAGUGGACUACAGAAUGAGGGCGUUGCUUGUUUAAAAACUUCACUCCAUGGAGCUCUCCAAAUUCAUCGCAAAUUAGACUGCUUCUGGAAACCAGAUUUGUUCCUUCAAGCAGAGAUGCUUGUGGCUUUCCUGACUGGACUUCUAUGGAUUCUUCAUGCCAACCUUAAGAACUGUGGUCUUCUACAUGAUACACAUCAAUUUCAAACAAGACAUUCUGUGGUGAAACACUUGAUGCAGAUGAAAUGAAAUUUUAUUACUGAAUCUCAGAAGUGAUUCCUUGGGAGCAAGAAAUAAUGAAAAAUAAAAAUAAAAGGUCCAUCAAUAAUGAAUGUCUUGAGCAGUGUUCUUUUUUGUGCACAGAUCAAUGGAUCUUUUCAAGUCCAAGCAGGGAUGUAGUCAAUGCUGACCUCGAGGCAUCAUUUUGCUGGCCUUGGUCCGAGUCACUGUACAGAAUCUAUGGGAAGUUCUCUCAAGCUGCCUCAUGACUCGGAAGAAUCAGCCUCGACCUCAUCCCUGUAUGCAAGCGUGAUAUAUAUCUACGAUGCAAUCUCAUGAUUAAAGAGAGAGAAACAAGAGAGCUUCAGAUUUUGAAGUGUAGCAAUCUCCUGAAAUGUAUGUUUUAUUUGAAAAACUUAAUUGGGCAUGUUAUUCAUUAUGAUAUGUAUGAAUGAAAGCAUUUAAGCAAUUUAGUGCUCUUGCAAAACAUAUUCUGAGUUGUAUUUACUGCAAACGCUCAGAAAUAUUGAUAAGCAUUUGCCAGUGCAUGAAGUGUUUUAAUAAAGAGUGGCUUUUGUGCCUAUGGAGAGUUAUUAUUUCUUCAACAUUUCUUCAUACAAAUUAUUUCAGAAAUCACAAUUUGAAUAUUCCAUGACCUCUGAUAACAAGAGCAGAAUAUUUUUGGUGAUUGACACACUUUAAAAUGAUAUUAGGAGAGAAUGUACUGAAAUUGUGUGAAAAUAAUGGCAUAAUUGCUGAAGAGGCCUAUAAAGAUUGAAAAUAACAUUAUUUCAAGUUUUUCUUGAAAAAAACCCAUGGAAAAUUGAAAAUGGCAUAAUUUACACAAGUUUUC